UAACAAUUUAAUUAAUUCAUAGCAGAGCCUUAAAAUCACAUGGACAGGAAGCCACUGAAGAGAUGCCAAAAUGAGUGUAAUGUGGUCAAACUUUCUGCUUCAUGUCAAAAGUCUGGCAGCAGCAUUUUUAACCAAUUGGAGACCCCUAAU